GAUGAACGCUGGCGGCGUGCUUAACACAUGCAAGUCGAACGAAGCACUUUAUUUGAUUUCCUUCGGGACUGAUUAUUUUGUGACUGAGUGGCGGACGGGUGAGUAACGCGUGGGUAACCUGCCUUGUACAGGGGGAUAACAGUUGGAAACGGCUGCUAAUACCGCAUAAGCGCACAGCAUCGCAUGAUGCAGUGUGAAAAACUCCGGUGGUAUAAGAUGGACCCGCGUUGGAUUAGCUAGUUGGCGAGGUAACGGCCCACCAAGGCGACGAUCCAUAGCCGACCUGAGAGGGUGACCGGCCACAUUGGGACUGAGACACGGCCCAAACUCCUACGGGAGGCAGCAGUGGGGAAUAUUGCACAAUGGGCGAAAGCCUGAUGCAGCGACGCCGCGUGAGCGAAGAAGUAUUUCGGUAUGUAAAGCUCUAUCAGCAGGGAAGAUAAUGACGGUACCUGACUAAGAAGCACCGGCUAAAUACGUG
rnacentral:rRNA from 1 species